UCAACCUAACGUUUGCCAAUAAUGUUUGACUUUAAGGCCCCAUCCAUCCUUCAGCACAAAUAGACGUGAUUAAUAAACCAUUUUGAAGCCAUUAAUAUUAAAUUCAUAUAUGACCAAAACCAUUUUCAUAACUUCACCAUUCAUGUACAUUAGUUUAAUGAUUUUCAACAUUUAAUAAGAUAAUUUUAUGUACAUGCCAUUUGAUCAAAAUUAGAUAAACUAUACAAACUUAGUCAAGUAAAAAACGUCAGUUUGGAUGCUGACUUCACUUCUCGAGACUUCGAAGAAUACAUGUACCU
rnacentral:lncRNA from 1 species